UGGUAGCUCAGUGGCAGAGCGCGUCCUUCGUAAGGAUGAGGUCGAGAGUUCAAUCCUCUCUCA
rnacentral:tRNA from 1 species